UUAUUAAUUUGACACAACAUAUAUAAUCGAACCAGGUCAGGAUCGGAAGAUAGCAGCCUUAAGAUUCCCUAUAUGUGU
rnacentral:SRP_RNA from 1 species